rnacentral:rRNA from 1 species
UGGGGAAUUUUGGACAAUGGGGGCAACCCUGAUCCAGCCAUUCCGCGUGAGUGAAGAAGGCCUUCGGGUUGUAAAGCUCUUUCAGCUGGAACGAAACGGUACGCGCUAACAUCGUGUGCUAAUGACGGUACCAGCAGAAGAAGCACCGGCUAACUACGUGCCAGCAGCCGCGGUAAUACGUAGGGUGCGAGCGUUAAUCGGAAUUACUGGGCGUAAAGCGUGCGCAGGCGGAUUGUUAAGCAAGACGUGAAAUCCCCGGGCUUAACCUGGGAAUGGCGUUUUGAACUGGCAGUCUAGAGUGCGUCAGAGGGGGGUGGAAUUCCACGUGUAGCAGUGAAAUGCGUAGAGAUGUGGAGGAACACCGAUGGCGAAGGCAGCCCCCUGGGAUGACACUGACGCUCAUGUACGAAAGCGUGGGUAGCGAACAGG